GUUAGGGAGCAAGGCACUUUGUGUUGAGUGUACCUUUCGAAUAAGCACCGGCUAACUACGUGCCAGCAGCCGCGGUAAUACGUAGGGUGCAAGCGUUAUCCGGAAUUAUUGGGCGUAAAGGGCUCGUAGGCGGUUCGUCGCGUCCGGUGUGAAAGUCCAUCGCUUAACGGUGGAUCCGCGCCGGGUACGGGCGGGCUUGAGUGCGGUAGGGGAGACUGGAAUUCCCGGUGUAACGGUGGAAUGUGUAGAUAUCGGGAAGAACACCAAUGGCGAAGGCAGGUCUCUGGGCCGUUACUGACGCUGAGGAGCGAAAGCGUGGGGAGCGAACAGGAUUAGAUACCCUGGUAGUCCACGCCGUAAACGGUGGAUGCUGGAUGUGGGGCCCGUUCCACGGGUUCCGUGUCGGAGCUAACGCGUUAAGCAUCCCGCCUGGGGAGUACGGCCGCAAGGCUAAAACUCAAAGAAAUUGACGGGGGCCCGCACAAGCGGCGGAGCAUGCGGAUUAAUUCGAUGCAACGCGAAGAACCUUACCUGGGCUUGACAUGUUCCCGACGGCCCCAGAGAUGGGGUUUCCCUUCGGGGCGGGUUCACAGGUGGUGCAUGGUCGUCGUCAGCUCGUGUCGUGAGAUGUUGGGUUAAGUCCCGCAACGAGCGCAACCCUCGCCCCGUGUUGCCAGCGGAUUAUGCCGGGAACUCACGGGGGACCGCCGGGGUUAACUCGGAGGAAGGUGGGGAUGACGUCAGAUCAUCAUGCCCCUUACGUCCAGGGCUUCACGCAUGCUACAAUGGCCGGUACAACGGGAUGCGACAGUGCGAGCUGGAGCGGAUCCCUGAAAACCGGUCUCAGUUCGGAUCGCAGUCUGCAACUCGACUGCGUGAAGGCGGAGUCGCUAGUAAUCGCGAAUCAGCAACGUCGCGGUGAAUGCGUUCCCGGGCCUUGUACACACCGCCCGUCAAGUCAUGAAAGUGGGCAGCACCCGAAGCCGGUGGCCUAACCCCUUGCGGGAGGGAGCCGUCUAAGGUGAGGCUCGUGAUUGGGACUAAGUCGUAACAAGGUAGCCGUACC
rnacentral:rRNA from 1 species